GCGUAGGGUACGUAGGCGGAUAGUCAAAUUUUUAGUAAAAGACUGAGGAUGGACCUCUUUAAGCUAAAUUCACUAACUAUUUGAGUUCUAAAGGCGAUUUAUUGAAUUCCUUAAGUAAGGGUAAAAUUGUUGAUAUUGGAAGACAUUCGAAGGCGGAAGCGGUAAUCGAUUUAGAUCUGACGCUAGGUACUAAAGCAUGGGUAUAAAGAGGAUUAGAGACCUUGUAGUCCAUGCCUUAAACAAUGAGUGUUCAACGUCCUUUCUUGGUUUGUAUUUGUCAUAAAAAAGUUAUCGCCGGAAGGGCGAAAAUUCCCUUUUAUAAACAACGAACUACAUUUAAGGGGGUUUGAAGCUAACGCGUGAAACACCGCCUGGGGAAUGUGGCCGCAAGGUUAAACUCAAAGGAAUUGACGGAGACUUGUACAAGG
rnacentral:rRNA from 1 species